rnacentral:rRNA from 1 species
CCUGAAUUACGACAAGCCUAAUACAUGCAGUCGAGCGAUGAUUACCAGAUAGCUUGCUAUUUUUAUGAAGAGCGGCGAACGGGUGAGUAACGCGUGGGAAAUCUGCCGAGUAGCGGGGGACAACGUUUGGAAACGAACGCUAAUACCGCAUAACAAUGAGAAUCGCAUGAUUCUUAUUUGAAAGAAGCAAUUGCUUCACUACUUGAUGAUCCCGCGUUGUAUUAGCUAGUUGGUAGUGUAAAGGACUACCAAGGCGAUGAUACAUAGCCGACCUGAGAGGGUGAUCGGCCACACUGGGACUGAGACACGGCCCAGACUCCUACGGGAGGCAGCAGUAGGGAAUCUUCGGCAAUGGGGGCAACCCUGACCGAGCAACGCCGCGUGAGUGAAGAAGGUUUUCGGAUCGUAAAACUCUGUUGUUAGAGAAGAACGUUAAGUAGAGUGGAAAAUUACUUAAGUGACGGUAUCUAACCAGAAAGGGACGGCUAACUACGUGCCAGCAGCCGCGGUAAUACGUAGGUCCCAAGCGUUGUCCGGAUUUAUUGGGCGUAAAGCGAGCGCAGGUGGUUUCUUAAGUCUGAUGUAAAAGGCAGUGGCUCAACCAUUGUGUGCAUUGGAAACUGGGAGACUUGAGUGCAGGAGAGGAGAGUGGAAUUCCAUGUGUAGCGGUGAAAUGCGUAGAUAUAUGGAGGAACACCGGAGGCGAAAGCGGCUCUCUGGCCUGUAACUGACACUGAGGCUCGAAAGCGUGGGGAGCAAACAGGAUUAGAUACCCUGGUAGUCCACGCCGUAAACGAUGAGUGCUAGCUGUAGGGAGCUAUAAGUUCUCUGUAGCGCAGCUAACGCAUUAAGCACUCCGCCUGGGGAGUACGACCGCAAGGUUGAAACUCAAAGGAAUUGACGGGGGCCCGCACAAGCGGUGGAGCAUGUGGUUUUAAUUCGAAGCAACGCGAAGAACCUUACCAGGUCUUGACAUACUCGUGCUAUCCUUAGAGAUAAGGAGUUCCUUCGGGACACGGGAUACAGUGGGUGCAUGUUGUCGUCAGCCUCGUGUCCUGAGAUGUUGGGUUAGUCCCGCAACAAGCGCCACCCCUAUUACUAGUGGCAUCAUUAGUGGCUCUAGUGGACUGCGUGUAUACCCGGAGGAAGGUGGGAUGACCUCAAUCAUCAUGCCAUAUGACCCUGGCUACACUGUCCAAUGAUGUCACGAUCGCAUCGCGAGGGUCGCACUCUGAACACGUCGCGUCUGGAUUG